GUGCCAGCAGCCGCGGUAAUACGAAGGGGGCUAGCGUUGCUCGGAAUCACUGGGCGUAAAGGGUGCGUAGGCGGGUCUUUAAGUCAGGGGUGAAAUCCUGGAGCUCAACUCCAGAACUGCCUUUGAUACUGAAGAUCUUGAGUUCGGGAGAGGUGAGUGGAACUGCGAGUGUAGAGGUGAAAUUCGUAGAUAUUCGCAAGAACACCAGUGGCGAAGGCGGCUCACUGGCCCGAUACUGACGCUGAGGCACGAAAGCGUGGGGAGCAAACAGGAUUAGAUA
rnacentral:rRNA from 1 species